UCUCCAAUACAGUUGUGUCCUGAUUAUGAAUAACUGUAAUCCUCUCUAACAGUAACAGCUGCUGUUGCGUUGUUCGCAAUUUUCGCGAACACGUGCAUAUGUUCGAAAGCGGUACUGUUCACACAAUGGAUGGAGAGGAUGGUGUUUAUUUAGGCGUGGACGAGGAGUAUUGGGAUUCUUUGUCAAAGACAAUCUUAGUUUAUAAAGGCCAAGGUAAAUCCUCUUAUAGCUGUGUCAUGUUCCAUUGUAUUAAAAUAGCCUGUACAUACACGGGAAAUUAACCGAAAAUUGGACUUUAUAUAUACUAGAUAUAUUUCUAAACCCUGGAAUUGCCAUAUUUGUCUGUAAAUAGUAUGUAGAUUGUUUAGAGUCUUCUCACAAUGACAGAAAGUCUUUGAAUGUCUGUAAAUAAACUGGAAAUAAUCCGUAUUCGGAUAAAGGAUGCCAAGAGCAUGCGCUAAAACGGGUGUUAUGAUAGGUUAUGUUAGAAUGAAUCCGUAUUUUGUUAAUUGUAGUAAGCAAAUAGACAAAGUUAAGAUAUUUGCUCUAGCUAAAAGGAUUGUUCAAGGUUGAAAGUAUUCUUGAGGCAUUGUUAGUUUUUGUUGAUUUAGCUUGAAUAGGAAGUUGUUCGCUUAAUUAGCGACCUAAUGACUUUUAUCGGGUCGUACCAUGUUUUGGGUACUUAUCUGUCUUCAACUUUCCAUUAAGUUGGUAAACUUACAAGUAUCUGUUUAUAUAGUUUCCUUUAGAUGUCGUACGUUAAUUGUCGGUAUCAUUAGCACAACACGUAGGAUCGCCCACACUCAAGUAGGAGGUGCUUAGCUCUACUGCAGUGUUGGCAAUCUGAUUAACUAUGCUAAUCUAAGUCAGCAAACAUCACACCUACGCUACUUGAGCGACCACUUCUUUCCCCUUCCAUUCAAUAACUUUCGAUUACAAGUUACAUAUUUGUUCCUCCAAAGUUACCUUAUGACCUUUCCUACCGACUCCCUUAGUUUCAUAGCAAAGGACAUUCGUUUUGUAUCCUUAAAUUCUUUUCAAAGCUUUCCUUUGUUAUCGCUAAUUUUGCCGACAGUUAAUGAUAUCUGAUGUAACUGUUUACAUUGUCAAGUACCGUCCAAUCACAGCACUCUGCACACGUGGUCAGUGCUUGUCAAUCAAACGUACUACUUGUUUUACUACAAAUAGGACCGCAUUGUAAUUCCUCAUCAUCUCUUCAUACCACUGACUCAGAAUAAAGGUACGACUCCGGUCUA